UACGGAGGGUGCGAGCGUUGUCCGGAAUCACUGGGCGUAAGGGCGCGUAGGUGGCCUGUGGAAGUCUGCGGUGAAAGCCCGGCGCUCAACGCCGGGUCGGCCGUGGAUACUCUCGGGCUCGAGCUUACUAGAGGCAGAUGGAAUUCCGGGUGUAGCGGUGGAAUGCGUAGAGAUCCGGAGGAACACCAAUUGCGAAGGCAGCUCGCUGGGACGUUACUGACGCUGAGACGCGAAAGCGUGGGGAGCAACAGG
rnacentral:rRNA from 1 species